CUCCCGGGUCCCGGCCCCGCCUGGAGGGUGGCCAUCAUCGAAUCCACUGAGGGCGCAAAUAGAACAAAAAGGUGAAGAAAAGGUGAAUUCUCUCCUUUCUUGAGCUGGGACAUCCAACUUCUCAGACAUCAGAGCUCCUGGAGGCCUUCAGACUCCGAGACAUUACACCAUUGGCUCACCUGGUCCUCAGGUCUUUGGACUUGGAAUGAAUUACACCAUUGGCUUUCCAGGUCUUCCAGCUUGCAGAUGGCAGAUUGUGGGACUUUUCAGCCUCCAUAACUUUGUCAUCCAAUUCCCAUAAUAAAUCGCCUCUUAUAUCUGUAU
rnacentral:lncRNA from 1 species